GUGGGGAAUAUUGGACAAUGGGCGAAAGCCUGAUCCAGCAAUGCCGCGUGAGUGAAGAAGGCCUUCGGGUUGUAAAGCUCUUUUACCCGGGAAGAUAAUGACUGUACCGGGAGAAUAAGCUCCGGCUAACUCCGUGCCAGCAGCCGCGGUAAUACGGAGGGAGCUAGCGUUGUUCGGAAUUACUGUGCGUAAAGCGCGCGUAGGCGGUUUAUCAAGUCAGGGGUGAAAUCCCGGGGCUCAACCCCGGAACUGCCCUUGAAACUGGUUCACUAGAAUCCUGGAGAGGCGAGUGGAAUUCCGAGUGUAGAGGUGAAAUUCGUAGAUAUUCGGAAGAACACCAGUGGCGAAGGCGACUCGCUGGACAGGUAUUGACGCUGAGGUGCGAAAGCGUGGGGAGCAAACAGGAUUAGAAACCCUUGUAGUCC
rnacentral:rRNA from 1 species